GGGUGCAACAGCGAACCCUAAAACACUAGUCUAACUUUACACACAAAAAGGAAAGGAAAAACGUUAUAGAGAUGGUCGAUGAAUCAAACAUUUCUGAGUGUGAAAUGAUAGAUCCAGCAAUGAAUCACAUAAAGGAAUCCGUAUGCAAGAAGAAUCAGGUAAUAAUCAAGAAGAAGAAGAAGAAGGAAGGAAUUUAUGUACCACUGAAUUGGAUAAUGUUUUGAGCAGACUCGGAAAUAUGGUUUUCAAGAGGGCUGAAUCCUUGGGACAUGCUUCUACUUUAUUGUUCUAGAACCAGGCAGCUGCUCCAUAUAAAGUCUUAUUCUUCUUCUCUCUGUUAACGACACAAAGCCCCUAUGAAAUUCACUAUAACAGGUUUAACGAUUUUACUUGGAUACAACAAAUUGGACAAGAAGCCGUUCAAGAGUUGGCUCCUAAUACAAUUGAAGAGAUAAGGAUAACAGAGCAAAUUGAAUCUGAAUAUGGCAACAAAAGUGUGCAACACUCCCCAAAUGUUUACAGCAGAAGAAAGCCAAGAGGAUGGAUUGUUUUCAACGCCGAUUCGCGUGAGAGGUUCAUCGCCGAAGCCAGAGCCUGAAAAGGUAUCACCAACUGCCGAGAGAGUAGCUGAAAAUGUUCCACCUACAAGAAAGGGAACAAAGAGCAAAUUGAGAUCAGGGCCAUGUUUCAAAUGCUCAACUUAGACUUCACGUUUAUACAACAAAUUGGACACAAAAGCAUUCAAGAGUUAAGUUAAAUUACUAUUGACGAGAUAAGGGCAAAUUGAUUCUGAAUAUGCCAACAAAAGUGCGCAACACUCCCCUAAAUGUUUACAACAGAAGAAAGUCAAAGGGUGAUGGUAUUGUUUUCAACGCCGACUCCUGUGAGAAGUUCGUCGCCGAAGCCAGAGCUUGGAAAGGUAUCACCAACUGCACAGUCCGAGAGAGUAGCUGGAAAUGCUACCUAUACAUGAAAGGGAACGAUAACACAACUUGAGAUCAGGGCCAUGUUUCAGAUGUUCAACUUAGGUGGAUGAAAUGGCUAGAUAUAUGGUUAAAGCCGGGCAUGAGGUUGUUCGAGUGAAGAAGAAAACAAAGAUUCAGCGCUGGUCUGGACCUACACCAAAGGGUAAAAAUCUCAUGUUGGGACCCUAUGCAUCACUAACAUCUCCAACUGCACAGUCUGAGAGAGUCGCUGAAACUGUUGCGCUUGCAUGAUAAGGAUCGAAGCACAAAUUGGGAUCAGGAUCAGGACCAUGUCCAAACGAUCAACUAAGUUCUGAUUGUGGGAUAUUCCUAGUGAAGUUCAUCCUCCUUCUGAUAAGGGAGAUUCCAGUGUGACGGCUUAGUAUCCUGAAAAUGGAUGUUUUCUGUAGAGUGUUCACGGCCAUGGAGUUGUUCAGAAAGCAGUAUUUCUGAACACGAGGAUUUUUUUCUAAUCUGAUGGGUCAGCAUUUCUGAUCUGAUGCAAACACGCUAGUGCAGGAUACAUGUGAUUAGGGUGUAAAGAGUGGCGUCUUGAGUAUAUACACAGUUUCUUUUUGUCUAGUGUGCCAGCAACUAGGGUCAAAGGAAAGAAAUUGAUGCCUAAGUAUGAUAGGAUGGCUGAGAUAAACACGAGGAAUUUUUUCUAAUCCAUGUUUCUACUGGCCUCUGUCAAGAUUGUAGAAAUAAGAUUUGAAUUACCAGUGCAUUUGUAAACGUAGCUUAAUUCUUUUGUAAAUGCUGAUGUUCAUGUGUACAUAUAUUGACUCAAAUAAUAUAUGUAAUCUAGGAACAACUGCUUCUAUCAG